AGAUCCUGAAACCGUGUGCCUACAAGUAGUCAGAGCCCGUUAAAGGGUGAUGGCGUGCCUUUUGUAGAAUGAACCGGCGAGUUACGAUCCCGUGCAAGGUUAAGCAGAAGAUGCGGAGCCGCAGCGAAAGCGAGUCUGAAUAGGGCGCAUGAGUACGUGGUCGUAGACCCGAAACCAGGUGAUCUACCCAUGUCCAGGGUGAAGUUCAGGUAACACUGAAUGGAGGCCCGAACCCACGCACGUUGAAAAGUGCGGGGAUGAGGUGUGGGUAGGGGUGAAAUGCCAAUCGAACCUGGAGAUAGCUGGUUCUCUCCGAAAUAGCUUUAGGGCUAGCCUCAAGGUAAGAGUCUCGGAGGUAGAGCACUGAUUGGACUAGGGGCCCCUACCGGGUUACCGAAUUCAGUCAAACUCCGAAUGCCGAUGACUUAUCCUUGGGAGUCAGACUGCGAGUGAUAAGAUCCG
rnacentral:rRNA from 1 species